CGAGCGCUGUCCUGCUGCGCGGCGCUGCGGCCGUGUGAGCUGUGGAGCGCGUGUGCCAGAGAGCCCCGGGUGGUUCUGGUGCCUGACCCGAACUACGAGGAUUCCGAGAAGAGUGUAACGCUUCACUUGCAGGCAUGUUCCCUCACCCCGUCGUGCCUGACACACAAACUCAGGUGGAUCAAUUUCCUGAACUCCUUUGUCUGCAGGACCAGAAAUUGCAAGUCUUGGGCGAGCCUUUCUGCUGUGUCUAUGAAGCAUGUUCCUGCCUUCCUGCCUGCGCCUUCACUGCGCCACUCAUGCCUCAGCCCUAUCCCAUCCCGCUCCAUUUUACCAUGGAUGGAUUAUUUCCUGUCUUCCCAUUCCUGCUCUAUCCCUGGGCCCUCAGCAUGCUCCCCUGUGCUAGGCCGCAGAGUUGGCCUUGGCUACGAUGUUGCCACCGCCGCGUGUAUGGGAAUAUUGAUUUUACAGUGUGUGUGCUCUGUAAAAAAUCAAUAUUUCAGUAGAUUGAGCAGAGCAUGCGGCAGUGUAAUGGAGCCCAGCCUGCUAAUGUAACAUGCAGGGGUCCUCAUUCAGAGAUUGAGGUCAGUCAGAAAAUGGAAAUGUGUUUUCUUGUUUUAUUGUCUGUUUCAGAUUUAAUGUAGGUGUUUAUGUUCUCGUGUUUAACCUAUAGCGGGCAUAGAGUUGCUUUAAAGUCACAUCCAACAGAAUGUCACGCAUUUCACGCGACAUGCAUAAAGACGUGCCUCAUAUGGACAGCCCAUUUUUAGAGUUUAGUAAUCCCCCUCUCCCCCUUUCCCACCACGUGUCUGUUAAACAACAGUUGAGAGGAGAAAUUAGUCAUUUUUGUUUCUUCAAAUAAAAAAUAGUUUUCUGUCA